ACUCUAACAGUUUUGUAUGGUUUCCACAGCAAAUUACUGCAAACUUAGUGUCUUAAAACAACACAAAUUUAUAUCGUAGCUUUGUAGGGCAGAAAUCUGCCACAGGUCUUAGUGGGCUAAAAUCAAGGUGUCAGCAGGGCUGCAAUCCUUCCGUAAGCUGUUUCCUCAUGUUUUUGGUUUUCUGGAAGCCACUCACAUUUGCUCAUGGCCCCCUUCCUCCAUUUCAGAGUCAGAAAUAAUAGAUCGUGUCCUCACCCUGCAUCUCUCUGGCCACCUCUGCUUCCAGCUUCUACCUUUAAGGACCCUUGUGAUGACAUUGGGACCAGCUUCAUUUCUCCAAAUGUCCUCCUCUCAUACCUCUCCUUGCACAUCAAGCUGCUCACCCUUUGUGCUUUUGCACAUGCUGUUUGAUUAUGAAACUCCAUGACCCUCCUCCUCAUGAUUCACUUGACUGACUAUUCAACGCUCAGUUCAGGUGGCUCUUCCUUCAGAAAGCCUUUUUCCAUCUACUGUCCUACUGCCCCUCCCAAGUUAAGAGCAGGUGCUGCAAACGGACUGCAUUUGUUGGGGUUGCUCAGCAGGAAAUUGGGGGGGCAGUGAGUGACUCACCAAAACUGAGGGAUACGAAAGGACAAUAGAAUAACAACAGAGAAAAACAUGAAGACAGAAAGGUGUGUGGACUUGUUUUUGCCCACUCUUUCAUUGAUGGUACAGCACUUUAAAGGCCCUCGCUUUAGGCGAUGGCUCCUUUCAUAACUUCCUAACUUUCAGGACCUGAAGGACUCAUCUCCUAUGCCUGUGUGUGUCACUAGGCUUUUGAGACAGCUUUAGAAAGGAAGGAAAUACUGUCGUAAACUACAACAUGAAUGAACCUUGAAGACAUUAUGCUAAGUGAAAUAAGCCUGUCACAGAAAAAAAAAUACGGUAUGAUUCCACUUGUAUGAAAUAUUUAAAGUAAGAAAAUUCAUAGAAAUACAAAAUAAAUGGUGGUCACUAGAGGCUGGAGAAAGGGGGAAAAGGAAGGUUGUUGUUUAAUAGGUAUAGAGUUUCAUUUUGCAACAUGAAAAAUCCUGGAGGUUUGUUUCACAACAAUGCGAAUAUACUUAACACUGUCAAACUCAUCCUUAAAAAUGGUUAAGAUUGUAAAUUUUGUUAUGUGUUUUUUACCUAGAAAAAUAAAUAAAUAAAAGCUUUGAGUAGUUUUCCUUCUAUGAGUUCUAAGAAAACUGUCUUCCUGUUUCUCCUGCGCUAAGAAGAUUACUAACUUUUCCCACAAAUAUUGGCAUGCAUAUUUACUGAAGCUUUUGAGCAAGACCAACAACAAUAGUUCCACUGUGAUGGAUUUCUGAAUACUGAAUGAGGCUGAGAGAAUUUUAAAAGAUUUGGACUCACUGUGACCUCUACUCACUGAAGCACUGAAGUUCAGAUUCCACUGCUCAAAGGGCAGACGAGUUUCCCUACUUACCAGAUGUCAGCUGAAGCAUGGUCCUUUUUUUUUUUAGCUGAAAGGCAACUCUCUCUGCAUUUUCUUUAUCAGCAAUGAAGCUCAAAGGAAAUGGCUUUCUGUGAACUAUGACAGUUUCUUUUUAUGGGACAAUUGUGUAUAUUCAAAUCUCAUUAUCCUGAAGCUUAUCUCUAAAAGUUAGUUAAUGAAGUUAACAAUACUCCUGAAAAACAUAAAAACAAACAUAAACAGACUAAUUUAUUUAUUUUAAAACAGGAACAAUACCAAUAGCUUUAUCUGAAAUAUACACAGAAUAUCAAAAUUUAUAUCAUUUUAGAAAUUUUAUGUGCAGUGCCAAGAUAGGUUUCCCUUAAUAUGCAAUUGACUUUUUCAAUGGACUUUUUCACAUUGUGAAAACAGUAAUUUAAUUUUCCCUGUUAACUUCUAAUUAGGAAUUGUAGACAUUUUUGGAAGAAGAAAGAGAGGGGCCCAUUAAAAACCUUUCAGUAUAUUCAGUAACUUUACUCCUUUGACACAAUCACUUCACAGAGCACCUCUUUUGAAUAGUUUCUUUUAUAAAUCUGAAUUUGUAUUUCUCAGUUCCUUUUAAAGUCCACUCAGCAGGACAGAGUUUUAAGUUAAAAUUUUGAGGGGAGAGAAAAAAUCCUUUCCAUAAACAACUUUUAGGAAUGUGGUAUAUAACAGUAGAUUUUCAGACUAUGUAGCUUUUCUUCUUACAAACUUUUAAGAGUGGAUUUAACUCUUGUCAGAAACAGUGAGGCCAAAGUGAUGAAAUAUAGUUUCCCGACCACCUCUUUUGGACUUUCAGUUUAUUUCAAGAUUGCUAUUAAUACUUAUACUUUACAAUAAUUCCCUGUCAUUAUUCUAAAAGGUAGUGUUCUUUGAGAGUUUGAAAGCCAAGUGGUUAGAAAUUUAGGAAGUGGAAGAUUUUCACUUGUAGCAUAAAAAUGGUAAAAAAAAAAAAAAAAAAGUACAGUAUUUCCUAAUAAUAUGAAAUUGAAACAUGAUAGCAAAUUUUAAAGAAAAGCAAAACUUAAAAAAAGAUAUACCCUUUAUAAUAACCCAAAUGUUUUUUAAAACAGAUUUCAGAUUAUUUCUGCCUGUGUUCUGGUUUACCUACCCUCUAUAGAUGGUAGAGUGGCUUCAGCUGUAACUUGGAAGUAAAUUUAAUGAACUGUCUUCUACCUUCUUAGAAUUUAAGUUGACUUUACCUUACACUAAGUGAAUUAAAUGACCACAGGUCAUGUUAGCAGAAAAUUACCCUCAGAGUGACUCUUAAACUAUUCUUAUUUGGUGUAUGUGGGGGCAGCAGCAUGAGGUAAGAAAAAGGAAUUGUGGAUCUAAAGCCAGAGGCUUGGGGUCAUUUGCAAGCUUCACUACCAAUAUCUAUACAUCUACCUUGAGCAAGCCAUGUAUACUCUUUCUCUCCAAUAGAAUAGAUACAAAAAUAAUUGCCCUGCCAUGUUAUUGGACUAUUAUCAGAAUCAAAUAAAAAUGUGAAUAAAAGAAAGAAAAAUAAUAAAAUUCUAGGAAAUACAAACCAUAGUAGUCUACGGCUUUAUCACAUUUAUAACAUAAUAACUUAGAAUCACGAAUUUUUUAAAUUAGAAUGGAAUAGAGAGCAUUUGCUAGUUUCUUGUUUCCUAACCGUUUUUAGGUCACAGACCUUAUUGGGAACUUAAUAUAAAUUCUGAACAUUGUAUCAGAAAAGUACACACACAUAUUCACAGGCACGAAAUAUUGCAUAUACUUUUUUGUGUGUUUGGUGUAUUGUGUGUGUGAAUGUCUGAUCAGUUUCAAUGCUUUCUUCUACAGAGUGGAUAAUGAAACUUAGAGAAAUGAAGAGACUGAAUUGAAGUCACACAGAAAGUUUGUGGCAGAGGUGUUUCUAGAGUACCUCUGCUAACUCACGCUCAGGUGCUCUGUUUCCCUAGACCAGGGACACUGAUGAGUGUCCUAAAGAGGAGCCUCGUUCAUUUCAAAGAGAGAUCUCAGGAGCAAAUACCAGACAGAGCCCUGGUAACCCUCACCACUUCUUUUAUCUGUUUUUUACAUUGGUCUUCCAAGACCCCAUCUUAUUUAAAAAAAUAAAGCUUGGAAACUGCUGCUGUAGGAGAAAAACACAAUUAUAAAUAUGAAGUGAGGAAAGAAAAGUAAUAGCAAAGUCAGAAAUUUCUUCUUAUCAUGUCCUUUCUGGAAGAAAAGUAUAGCUCCCAGAAAUUAUGACAUUCUUUAAAAACCACAGUGUCUGGUGGCCCAGAAAUGAGUAACUCUAAAAAUAUUUUCAAAAUUUAAUUCAGAAUUUUAAAGUCCCAAAAGAGUUAUCUCUAGAACUGUUUCACUAAAGAAUUCUACCAAAUGUUUAAGUAAGAAUUAACAUGAAUUUUUACAAUCUCUUAUAAGAAAUAGAAAAGAUGACACUUCAAAAUUUAUUUUAUGCAGCUAGUAUUACCCUAAUACCAAAAUGAGACAAAGACAGUACAAAAAAAGAAAAGCAAACUGGGAAAUCACAGACUAAUAUUCCUUGAGUAUAGCUGUAAAAAUUUUUGAACAAAUAAUAGCAAAUAAAAUUUGGCAAUAUAUAAAAAGAAUUAUGCACCCUGACCGAGUAGUGUAUAACUGGGUGAAAACAGGGCUGGUUGAAUAUUUGAAAAACAACCAAUAUAAUUUAUCAUAUUAACAGGCUGAAAAAGAAAAAUCACAUAAUUGUAACAAUUGAUACAAAAAACAUUUGAUAAAAUUCAACGUCUAUUCAUGAGAGAAUAAUUCAGAAAAUUACAGUUCAGAGAAAAACUCUUCAAAUACAAAAAACCUGCAUCUAAUAUCAUAUGUAAUGGAAAAACACUGAGUGCUUUUCUCCUAAGAUCUUGGACAAGGCAAACACAUCUGCCCUUACUCAAAAUAGAACCAAAAGUUCCAGCCCAUGUAAGAAAGCAUAAAAAGGAAAUAAAAGGCAUUAGGGUCAUAACAGAAGAAAUCAACUAUCCCUGUUUGCAGAAGUAAUGAUUGUCUAUGUAGAAUAUCCCAAAGAAUCUAUGAAGCUACUGUUAGAACGAAUAUCUAAUUUCACUAAGGUCACAGGAUACUAGAUCAGCAUACAAAAAUCAAUUUUAUUUCUGUAAACAGCCAUGAAUAUAUGAAAAGCAAAAAACAAAAUGUAAAACAUAAUACUAUUUUCAAUUAUUAACAAUGAGA
rnacentral:lncRNA from 1 species